rnacentral:tRNA from 2 species
GCGAAAAUAGCUCAGCUGGUAGAGCAUCACCUUGCCAAGGUGGAGGUCGCGGGUUCAAGUCCCGUUUUUCGCU